UUGAUCCUGGCUCAGAAUCAACGCUGGCGGCGCGCUUAACACAUGCAAGUCGCACGAGAAAGGGAGCAAUCCUAAGUAAAGUGGCGCACGGGUGAGUAAUACGUGGAUCAUCUACCUUUUAGUGGGGAAUACCUCUGGGAAACCGGAGAUAAUACCGCAUAAGCCCGCAAGGGGAAAGCAGCAAUGCGCUGAAAGAGGAUUCCGCGGCCGAUUAGCUAGUUGGCGGGGUAACGGCCCACCAAGGCGAAGUUCGGUAGCCGGCCUGAGAGGGCACACGGCCACACUGGCACUGAAACACGUGCCAGACUCCUACGGGAGGCAGCAGUGGGGAAUCUUGCACAAUGGGCGAUAGCCUGAUGCAGCGACGCCGCGUGAGCGAUGAAGCCCUUCGGGGUGUAAUGCUCUUUCGACGGGAACGAUAAUGACGGUACCCGGAGAAGAAGCUGCGGUUAACUACGUGCCAGCAGCCGCGGUAAUU
rnacentral:rRNA from 1 species